rnacentral:rRNA from 1 species
UACAGAGGUCCCAAGCGUUGUUCGGAUUCACUGGGCGUAAAGGGUGCGUAGGUGGCGAGGUAAGUCGGAUGUGAAAGCUCGGAGCUCAACUCCGAAAUGGCAUUGGAAACUACCUUGCUCGAGGGUCGGAGGGGGGACUGGAAUACUUGGUGUAGCAGUGAAAUGCGUAGAUAUCAAGUGGAACACCAGUGGCGAAGGCGAGUCCCUGGACGACUCCUGACACUGAGGCACGAAAGCUAGGGGAGCAAACAGG